rnacentral:lncRNA from 9 species
UUUUUUUUUUUUUUUUUUGGUCUUUUUGCCAUUUCUUGGGCCCCUCCCGCGGUAUAUGGAGGUUUCCAGGCUAGAGGUCGAAUCGGAGCUGUAGCCGCCACCUACGCCAGAGCCACAGCAACGCGGGAUCCGAGCCGCGUCUGCAACCUACAUCACAGCUCACGGCAACGCCGGAUCGUUAACCCACUGAGCAAGGGCAGGGACCGAACCCGCAACCUCAUGGUUCCUAGUCGGAUUCGUUAACCACUGCGCCACGACGGGAACUCCCAGAAGUAAGCACACUUUUAAGCUCUGCUAGGAGCUCUUCCCAGCAUUUUUGCAACCUUUAAAUCUAAAACUGGGAUUGGGAAUCUGGGGUUAACAGAUGCAAACUAUUGCCUUUGGAAUGAAUAAGCAAUGACAUCCUGCUGUAUAGCACUGGGAACUAUAUCUAGGCACUUUUUUUAAAAAUUUAUAUAUAUACAUAUAUAUAUAUUUUUUUUAGGGCCACACCCACAGCAUAUGGAUGUUCCCAGGCUAGGGGUUGAAUCAGAGCUACAGCUGCUGGCCUAUACCACAGCUCAUGGCAAUGCCAGAUCCCCGACCCACUGAGCAAGGCCAGGAAUCGAACCCGCAUCCUCAUGGUUACUGGUCAGAUGCGUUUCUGGUGUGCCACAAAGGAACUCCUAUCUAGUCACUUAUGAUGGAGAUGAUGGAGGAUAAUGUGCGAAAAAGAAUGUAUAUACAUAUAUGUGACUGGGUCACUUUGCUGUAUAGUAGAAAAUUGACAGAACACUGUAAACAAGCUAUAAUGGAAAAAAUAAAAAUCAUUAAAAAAAUCUAAAACUCACUUAAUUCUUUAACUGAUUGGCACAAUGUCAGACUCUGAAGGCAACAUAUUCCUAAAAGAGAAAAAAAACCGAGGCAAUUUAUCUAGGCUUAAAGUCAGCUCUAAGCAAAAUAAAUAAAUAAAUAAAUAAAGACAAAUCACCUUAAGCAAGAAGCCUCUUUCAAAUUAGGUAGAGAAUACAUACAUAGACAAAAGACAUGUUUCAGUUAUCAAUUCAUUGGAACAACUGCAUAACAAACAACUCUAAAUUCCAUGAGAUUAAACAACUAUUUCAUUAUGCUCAUCGAUUUUUUUUUAACUUUAUUUUCUUAGAGUAGUUUUAGGCUUACAAUAAAACUGAAAGAAAUGUACAGUGAGUUCCCAUACACUCCCAUACAUGCACGGCCUCCCCCCUUAUCAUCGUCAUUCACCUGAAGGGUACGUUUUUCAUCAAAGAUGAACCUACAUUGACACAUCACAGUCAUCCAAAGUCCAUAGGUUACCUUAGAGUUCACUCUUGGUGUUGUAAAUUCUGGGUUUGGACAAAAUUAUAAUGACAUAUAUUCAUCAUUAUAUCAUAUAGAAUAAUUUCACUGUCAUAAAAAUCCUCUGUUCUGCCUAUUCAGCUUUCCCCUGCUCCCAUCUGGCAACCACUGAUCUCUUUACUGUCUCCAUAGUUUUGCCUUUUCCAAGAUGUCAUAUAGUUGGAAUCAUACAGUAUGUAGCCUUUGCAGAUUGGCUUCUUUCACUUAGUAAUAAGCAUUUAAGAUUUCUUCAUGUGUUGUCUUUGCUUGAUAACUCAAUUACUUUCAGUGCUAAAUAAUAUUCCAUGGUCUGAACAUACCAUGGUUUACUAACCUCUUUAUCUACUGAAGAACAUCUUGCUUGCUUCCAAGUUUCUGCAAUUAUGAAUAAAGGUGCUAUAAACAUCCAUGUACAGAAGUGAUUUUUUUGCAGACAUAAGAAUUCAGCUAUCAUUGGGUAAACAGUAAGGAGUAUGAUUCCUGGAGUAUGUACUGUCUUCCAAAAUAGCUGUACCAUUUCACGUUCCCACCAGCAUUGUGUCAGAGUUCAUUCACUGGCAAAAUCCUCACCAGCACUUGGUGUUGACAGUUCUGGAUUUUGGCCAUUUUAAUAGGGGCACAGAGGUAUGUCAUUGUUGUUUUAAUUUGUAUUUUCCUGAUGACAUGUGAUAUAGAGUAUCUUUUCAUAUGGUUAUUUGACAUCUGGAUGUAUUUUGGGGUGAGUUUGAUUAAAGUUUUUGGUCCAUUCUUUUGCAAUCAAGUUUUUAUUUCAGUGUUGUUGCAUUUUAAGAGUUCUCUGUAUAUUUUGGAAACAGUCUUUUCUCAGAUGUGUCUUUCAUAAAUUUUUCUUCCAAUUUGUGUCAUAUAUUCUAAUUCUCUUGAGUUCAUGGAUUCUUCAGGUCAGGAAAUAGGAUAAGACAGAGCUGCAAUGGUUUUCUCUGGUCCAUAAGCCUAGCACCUCAGCUUGGAAGAUUCAAAAUGCUGCUGGUUGAUUCAAAUGGCUGGGAGUUAGAAUCUGCUUUUCCACUCACAUGACAGGCACCUGGGCUGGGCUAACCAGGAGGGCUGGGCUCAGCUGUGGCAGUCAAUCAGGAUACCUUCAAGGGGCCUUCUGAUGUGUGCUGGGCUUUUCACAGCACACCAGCAUCGGGCAGUCAGAUUUCUUACAUGAUGGCCAAGAGUUCCAAAAGCAAGUGUUCCAACAGACAAGGUGGAGUUGCAUAGCCUUUUACGACCUAGCCUCUGAAGUCAUAUGGUGACUAUGAUCAUUUUCACUAUACUCUAUUGGUCAAAUCAGCCACACCCACUCAUAUUUAAGGGAAGGGAAUACAGAUUCUGUAUUUUUAUGGGAAGAGUAUAGAAGUUGGAGCCAUAUUUUAAAACCAUCACAGACAUAUGUACAUAAAGAGAUAUGGUGAUACAUGCCAAGGGGUUAACAGUGCCCACCUCCCAGAAUCCCUCAAAAUGAAUUUUGUUAACCUAUAAUUUUAAGUCAAACUAAUUCAAACAUAUCCUCUAUGGAUGGCAAAAUUUCACCUAUUUUUAGGUGAUACAGUAACGAAUAAACUUCAUUUCAUCUGUGUAAAUUGCAUCAAAAAUGACUAACAGCUUGCUUUUGACCCUAGUAUUAUCUGCUACUUAUUACCAUUUCUUAUUUUUUCAAACACUAUCAAGCUCAGAUCCACCCUUAGGCUAAGUCAUAUCCAGGAAUAAUACAGAGAAUACCUAUAGUAAGUAAAGCAAGUAGAUUAGGACUACUCCAACAUCAUGGUUGCUGAAAUCAGUGGCCAUUCCCUGUCUCAGUGAUACCAGACUUGAAUUUCAUGGGUCAAGAACAAUUUCAGAAAUAAAAAUAAACUAAAUGGGAGCAAAUAAAAUUACCAACUUUUUAUUCUCCACAGUAAGAACAUUUAGAAAACAACUACUCUAUAACUACCAUCACAUUAAAAAAAAAAAUAGAAUGGACAAUUUCAAAAUAAAGCCUAAUAUUUUAGAAUGAAUAAAUUUGAAUAAAUAAAAAACUCACUAUAUAUGUGUGUGUGUUUGUGUGUGUAUAUAUGUGUGUGUGUGUGUGUAUUAUAUUUCUCAUUUCUCUGCUGAUCUGCAGAAAUUUUACCAUGGAUGAAACCCAAGUCACACACUGUGCAUAUGACAUUCUGGUCCCUUCUCUCUCUUGGUUUAUUCCAAAAGUUCUAGAACCUUAGCUUGCUCCUAGAAACUCAAUUUAAAAGACAAAUAAGUAAAUGAUUAUAACACAACGUGAACGCUAUAAGGAUACGGCCAGGGUGGGGAGGGGGGCCGGGAAUCAAGGAAGAUUUCACAAAUCACGUGAAAAAGAUUUGCCCAUGAGAAAGAAUGGGGAAGAUUAUUAUAGACGACAAUGACUAUGGCUGAAAGCACAGACACAAUUUAUGUAUGAAGUAUAUCCAAGACUACACAGUAUACCAAAAAAGUAAGUAGUUCUUAUACUUGGUUGUAGAGUAAAGAGUAUUUUCUUUUCCUUUUUUCCAAAACUUAACAAUGCAUUAAUUUAAUGAACAGAAAAUUUUAAAAUAACUAUUUCAAUUUUGUAGGUUAGCUUAGGAAGAACAAACAAAAGGCCUAUUUCCCUUUAAGAAGGCAGUUUGUAUUAAGAGGCUGGGUUGUAAAAUGCAGAUGUCAUCAAGCUCCAGACUUAGGGAUAGGUACUGCUGGGGAAGACUACUUUCCCUCAGUGCCUCUGUGAGAAUCCCAGGCUGGGUAUAUUCAAUGCUGUAGGCCUUCUUGUCCAUAUAUGGUCAUGUCAGAAAUUCUCAGGUGGCAGGGGCUGACAGGCCAAAUGCUUAGCAACACAGCUCAAAUCAGAUACCAAGGUUAAAACCCCAGCUCUACCACUAACUAGCUCAAGGAGCUUCCCAAAUUACUUAACCACUUGAAUCUGCCUUCUCUUCUGUUACACGGAAAACUGCCUACCUUUUGGAAUUUUAGUACAGUGCCUGACCCUCAGAAAAUGACAGAUUUAGGACAUUUCUGUGUAUCUAAUUGAGAAGUAGAUAUUUGUUCUAUUGGUUUAGAAAGGCUUUAGAUCUGACUUGCCAUUUGUUUGCUCUAUAGGUUUGGCUAAAAGCUUUAAGCACAUUAUUUUGUCAAUUGUAAUAUCGACCUUUUGAAACUUAAAUGUAUGCCUGUUUUUAACAAUUUCCAAAUGUGGAAAGGUUAUUCAGUAUUGCUUCUAAAAUCCAGCUCUCUCUAGAACGAUGUUUCCAAAGGAUCCUGAAAUAACUAAGUGGUUCUACCCCUAGAUUCUCGGAACUAACACAAAACUAGGCGGACCUUUCCCAUUUUUCUGUCUUAUUAACUCCCCUGUCCACUUCCAGAAAGAAUCCAAGUUCUUUUGUGCAGAUAAAGGUUCAGCUCUAAGGUAAAGGCCUCUUACCCAGGCUUUCUUAAAGCUGGAAUAUAGUCAGCAGAACACUGUAGUAUGGGGUUCCUGAAGUGUUCUCUAACGAUUUGCACAGCUUUCAGAAUCCUCCUGAGCCAAAGGGCCACCUGGCAGCAAUUCCACAACCUCCACACACU